GAUGAACGCUGGCGGCGUGUCUAAUACAUGCAAGUCGAGCGAACAGACGAGGAGCUUGCUCCUCUGACGUUAGCGGCGGACGGGUGAGUAACACGUGGAUAACCUACCUAUAAGACUGGGAUAACUUCGGGAAACCGGAGCUAAUACCGGAUAAUAUAUUGAACCGCAUGGUUCAAUAGUGAAAGACGGUUUUGCUGUCACUUAUAGAUGGAUCCGCGCCGCAUUAGCUAGUUGGUAAGGUAACGGCUUACCAAGGCAACGAUGCGUAGCCGACCUGAGAGGGUGAUCGGCCACACUGGAACUGAUACACGGUCCAGACUCCUACGGGAGGCAGCAGUAGGGAAUCUUCCGCAAAGGGCGAAAGCCUGACGGAGCAACGCCGCGUGAGUGAUGAAGGUCUUCGGAUCGUAAAACUCUGUUAUUAGGGAAGAACAAAUGUGUAAGUAACUAUGCACGUCUUGACGGUACCUAAUCAGAAAGCCACGGCUAACUACGUG
rnacentral:rRNA from 1 species